rfam:Nitrincola nitratireducens strain AK23 contig000017, whole genome shotgun sequence.
UUCACUGUGAGGUGAAAUCUGAAGGAAGCUGAAAGCAAAAUGCUGGCCUGACGAACAGGAAGCGGUUUAGGCGUUGUAGCAGGGUAAGGUGGCCAAUAUCGCCAAAGUCCAAUACUUGCAUGGAAUGCUGCAACGUAUAACCGACAGGCAUAAGCAGGAAGGUCGCGCGA